CCUACGGGUGGCAGCAGUGAGGAAUAUUGGUCAAUGGGAGAGAUCCUGAACCAGCCCAGCCGCGUGAGGGAAGACGGCCCUAUGGGUUGUAAACCUCUUUUGUCGGAGAACAAAACCCGGGAUGUGUCUCGGAUUGCGUGGAGCCGAAGAAAAAGCAACGGCUAACUCCGUGCCAGCAGCCGCGGUAAUACGGAGGAUGCGAGCGUUAUCCGGAUUUAUUGGGUUUAAAGGGUGCGUAGGCGGUCAGUUAAGUCAGCGGUAAAAUUGCGGGGCUCAAACCCGUCGAGCCGUUGAAACUGGCAGACUUGAGUUGGCGAGAAGUACGCGGAAUGCGCGGUGUAGCGGUGAAAUGCGUAGAUAUCACGCAGAACUCCGGUUGCGAAGGCAGCGUACCGGCGCCAGACUGACGCUGAGGCACGAAAGCGUGGGGAUCGAACAGGAUUAGAUACCCGAGUAGUC
rnacentral:rRNA from 1 species